CAGAGAGGGGAGCUGUGUGUCUUUCUAGGUGCCCAGAAGAGACUGCUGCCCCCAAGGUGAGAUGGCACCUGGCCAGCUGCCCAAGCAACCAUGGGGGAUGUGAAGCUGGUUGCCUCGUCACACAUUUCCAAAACCUCCCUCAGUGUGGAUCCCUCAAGAGUUGACUCCAUGCCCCUGACAGAGGCCCCUGCUUUCAUUUUGCCCCCUCGGAACCUCUGCAUCAAAGAAGGAGCCACCGCCAAGUUCGAAGGGCGGUCCGGGGUUACCCAGAGCCCCAGGUGACAUGGCACAGAAACGGGCAACCCAUCACCAGCG
rnacentral:lncRNA from 1 species